UAAACAUUAAGGAUGACAGUUUAUAUUUGUUCACCCCCUUCCUCUCCUUCUUCCCUCCUUAUAUAUAGCUUGUUCAUCGAAAGCUAAUGAUAUUGAAUCUGGGGACACCUUUUUCGGUAUUUUGCAUGUGAAGUAUUUGGAAAUUUAUUGAUUGUGGCAUUGUGUUCAUGAAGUGACAUCUCAAUGCCAGUAUUGCCUUUGAAGAAUCUAUUGUAUUUGAGAAUGUUCUUGCAUUGGUAAUGGCAAUGUAUUUGAUAUUAGGCGCCCUCUAUGUCAAGUUUUAUUCUUAUUGCUUUUUGCUUUCUAAAAAGUAAUUUCUGUAGAUUUUCUUUUUAUGGGGAAGUGUAAAUAAUAAGAUAUAGUUAAGUGUAUGAAUUCACUUAUGGACUAUUGCUUUUCGUAGAAUCUAUAGUUCUGCUUUUCAAUAUCUAACCAAUCACUGUGUUUCCUUGCCUUUUAGACAUACAUCAAAGGUUCCUGAAUGGUUGCCCUUCAUUAUUGCACUUCAAUGACAUGCCAAACUGCUUUUCAUUUUUUUAGUCUUUUGCUUGCUGAUUUUUUUAUUCCCUUUUUUUCACAUUCUUUUUAUCCAUUUCUUCUUGGUGUGUUGCUUUUUUUUGUUGUUUAGUGAAUCAAUUAGGAGAAGCCUCAUUGCACAUUAUUAUCUAUUAAUAUUUAAUAAUAAGAGCUCAUGCGUUUUGUGAGAUUUUUCAAAGUAAUCAUUUUGUAGUUAUGCAUAAUUUCAUCUUUUUUUUUUCCUGCUGGUAGUGGCAGUUGUU
rnacentral:misc_RNA from 1 species